rnacentral:rRNA from 1 species
GGGCACGCUGGCGGCGGGCCUAACACAUGCAAGUCGAGGGGCAGCACGUUAAAGAGUUUACUCUUUAUGGUGGCGACCGGCGGACGGGUGCGUAACGCGUAUGCAACCUGCCUGACACAGGGGGGAUAAUCCGAAGAAAUUUGGUCUAAUACCCCAUAAUACCGAUAUAGGCAUCUAUGUUGGUUGAAAGCUUUGGUGGUGUCAGAUGGGCAUGCGUUGUAUUAGCUAGNUGGUGAGGUAACGGCUCACCAAGGCGACGAUACAUAGGGGGACUGAGAGGUUAACCCCCCCCACUGGUACUGAGACACGGACCAGACUCCUACGNNAGGCAGNAGUGAGGAAUAUUGGUCAAUGGGCGGGAAGCCUGAACCANCCAUGCC